rnacentral:tRNA from 1 species
CAAUAGCUCAGCCUGGAUAGAGCAUCAGUCUUCGAAACUGAGUGCCGUAGGUUCAAAUCCUACUUGGG